rnacentral:rRNA from 1 species
UACGAAGGGGGCUAGCGUUGCUCGGAAUCACUGGGCGUAAAGCGCACGUAGGCGGACUCUUAAGUCGGUGGUGAAAUCCUGGAGCUCAACUCCAGAACUGCCUUCGAUACUGGGAGUCCUGAGUCCGGGAGAGGUGAGUGGAACUGCGAGUGUAGAGGUGAAAUUCGUAGAUAUUCGCAAGAACACCAGUGGCGAAGGCGGCUCACUGGCCCGGUACUGACGCUGAGGUGCGAAAGCGUGGGGAGCAAACAGG